UACGUAGGGGGCUAGCGUUGUCCGGAAUCAUUGGGCGUAAAGAGCGUGUAGGCGGCCCGGUAAGUCCGCUGUAAAAGUCAAAGGCUCAACCUUUGAAUGUCAGUGGAUACUGCCGGGCUAGAGUCCGGAAGAGGCGAGUGGAACUCCUGGUGUAGCGGUGGAAUGCGCAGAUAUCAGGAAGAACACCGGUGGCGAAGGCGGGUCUCUGGGCAGUAACUGACGCUGAGGAGCGAAAGCGUGGGGAGCGAACAGG
rnacentral:rRNA from 1 species